rnacentral:rRNA from 1 species
CAAAAACAUCUUUUCUUGUUAGUUUUUGAAGUAUGGCCUGCCCACUGACGUUUAAAGUUGAAGGGCCGCGGUAUUUUGACCGUGCAAAGGUAGCAUAAUCAUUAGUUCUUUAAUUGUGAUCUGGUAUGAAUGGCUUGACGAGACACUAACUGUCUUAGGAGAAUUGGAUUAUAAAAAUUGAAUUUAGGUUUUGGGUUAAAAUACUCAGAUGUUUUUAUGGGACGAGAAGACCCUAUAGAGUUUUACAUUUAAUUUGUUUUUGUUUAAUUGUUUGUUUACUGUUUUGAGUAGGAUUUAAUGUUUUGUUGGGGUGAUGGGAGGAAUAUUAUUUAACUCCUCUUUUAUUUUAUAUAUUUAUAUAUAUUUAUUUGAUCCAUUUAUUUUGAUUAUAAGAUUAAAUUACCUU